ACACUCAAAAAGUUAAUCAAAUAUGGAUACUUCUGAUACAAGCUGCGCAGGUGUAUUUCAAAAUUUAGACGUAAGUAAAACGAAUUGUACAUUAUUUUCAACAAAACAUACUGGUUUAUGAUAAAGUUCACCUAUAAAAUUCAAAGAGAAGCUUUAAAAAUAGUUUUUUUUUCAAAUUUCACCUUACUGUUAAGUUUGAUCUUAUUGUUAGGUGAAUUCUCACUUUUUCUAGAAUUUUUUUUCUAUAAUAAUAAAUAACAUCCGGUUAUAUAGUUAUUGCACAAAUGUGUCGAAGGAAGUUUUUUUGGAAAUGAGUAGUGUGUGUACUUUUACAAAAUCGAGAAAAGCUUUUAUCUAAAAAAGUAAAGUUCAAACGUUUCAAAUAAAUUGUUGCAAUAAGUGACGAUUUUUUUUAAAACAUAAAAACAGAGACAAUAAUAACUUGUAAACACGAGGUAUUUAAUUGCAAUUUGCAAUCUUGCAAUCCUGUAUUGUUUCUGCGUAAAGCAAUCAGUAGAAUGAAAGGAAAAUUCGAAAAAAGACAACAAUAUCAUUUUAUUUUCAGAACAAUAGUCUCAGUAUACAAGUGUUUAACAAUCAAAUAAUCGUCUACAAUAUUUUGGAAAAUGUAAGAGGAGAUAUAAACGACCGAUUGAAGUUGCGUGUAAGUCAUUUCGAUAACCAUUUGUGUAUUUUUCUUUAAUUAAUAACAACCAUACAUUUGUGAUUUUGAAAAACUGAUUUUUGGAAGAUUUCACAAAAAGAAAGCAAUGUUGAGACGCAGUUCAUUGAUAAUUUAAAUUAAAGCUUCGGAAUAAUUAUGGUACAGUGUUCGUCAAAAACGUAUCCUUGAUCGUUAAUUUUUUUUUGAAAAAUUUGCAUAAUAUUGCGGGCGAAUGGAACAGUAAUCGAGGUUUUGGGGUAUGGCGAUAAUGCUAGGAUCAUGGAGUCAUCCUCGGCCGGCUCUCAGCCCAUCUAACAACAUUACGAAUUAUAUACCGUGAAAUUGCAGAAAUAUCAAGCAACUAUAAGAUAUCACCUUUUUGGUCUCUACUUUAUCAUUAAUAAGGGAAACGAUGAUGUUGCUGGAACUACCAUGUAGGCGUUCAAACGCCUGCCUGCCUGCCUGACUAUAAACUCCGCCUGCCGUCCCGUCGCCUGUUUCUCGCCUCAACCCGCGUCCUAUGUUGAACCAUUCUUAAUUUGAUUUUCAUCAAAUUUAUAGAAAUGAGAAUAUUCGAAAUUUGUGAAUUCCCGUAAAAAUGCAGCCGGUGUGAAGUGAGCAGAUUUCAGGCAGGCCCAGAAUCCGCGUCUGCCUACCAAAGAAGCCCUAGUUGACGCGUAUGUAAAAAGACAAAUUUGAUUUAUCAAUAAAUAUAAUUACCCGAACUAUUCCGUCGCACCCUGUCUAAAAUCAUUCAAACUAAGACUAACCAGUUUUCAGUUAGUCAACAAAUCAUUCAAUUUGGCAACCAUUCACGCUAUUCGAAAAGAGCACCGAACAGUUGAAUUUCACAAGACUACACGUUGUAAUGAUCGUAGAAGAUUAGACCCUAGAGACCCUAGAAAUAAUAGAACUGAGCCAUGUCAAAAUUGUUCGGUCUACUUAAAUUCGGAAAAGCUCAAUGCGAAAAAUUUAUUUAGCUAUGCUUGGUAAGAAUAAACAUUCCGUAACAAAAAGUGCGUUUUGGUCUAUACUGCAGGUUCUUGAAACAAACAAUGAGGAUCAUGGUAGUUAAAAUAAUAAUCGGAGACUCCGGAUCAUAUUGUUUUAAUGUUCAUAAUGUUGUUCAAGAAGCAUUGGUAGAUCCCGAUUGUAAGUUUUGUUUAUCCAUCGUUAUAAAAAAUAGUGGAAAUGCUUUAAUAUUCAGUUGAAAAAGUGGAAGAAUUCGUUGGUGCUGAUAAUUUGAAUUGUUUUGGAUGUGAAGUAUGUGAAGAUAUAGCUUUAAAUUGCAAAGUAUAUGGACCAGUUCAAAUUAAUAGUUUUCGACCUAUAAUGAGACAGAAGCAUCAUUUUGAUGUUUUACAGAUCAAAGACAGGUGAUUUAAUUUUUCAUUUGUUUUGUAAGGGUGAGAAAUGAAAGUUUUGCUGUUUUGUUUUGUGUUUCAAUUUUUUCUAAACUUGUGAGUUAUGAAAAAUUUGUCGAUAGGGGUGUGCGGCAAUUUUGCCGAAUUUGCCGAGCUCGGAAAGUUUCGAAAUUUGCCGCACACAUCAAAAAUUUGGCAUUACAAUUUUGAUCAAAACUAUUGAUUUUGUCGCCAAAAAUUUAGUAAAAUGACACAAAAUAGAGUUACUGGCUGCCGGGUUUUCGGUAUUUUUGAAAAAUUUACGGUUUUUUUUUAAUAAAUCGAAAAAAAACAACGUUUUUCUGGUGUACGUAUUGAAAGCGUGAUGUUUCUUGCCGCAUCGUGUUGCAUGGAAAGAUGCUGUAUUUCCUUUAUUAGUCUUGCAUGUAAGACUAAUUUUCGAUUGACCUGUAGGGGUGCAAGACUAUUAGAGGCUGCAUGACUAAUUUUCGAAGAUCCAAUAGCUUUGUAAAAUUGACCAUUUCCCGUCGAGAGCUCUAUUUGACAGUUGAAAUCAUCCAACAUACAUAUUGUUCUAUUAUCAUUUACUAUAUAUAAAGCGCUUAUUCCGUUUGUCCAUAGUUUGUAGUCUAUGUAGUCUUUGUAGUCUGUGACGUCACAGCGUACAGAGGCAAGACAUUUUAAGCAGUUGGUGGGAUAUUGGUUUGAGGUUAGUGGCCGGACAUGAUCGGGGUACUGUAGUAGUACUGUAGAGGUACUGUAGGAGUACUGUAGGAUUACUGUAGUUUGGGAAAAAUUGACUUUUCGUCUUUUGAUGGGAUAUUGGUUUAGGUUAGUGGUGGGAUAUGGUCGGGGUACUGUAGUAGUACUGUAGAGGUACUGUAGGAGUACUGUAGGAUUACUGUAGUUUGGGAAAAUGUGACUUUUCGCCUUUUGAUGGGAUAUUGGUUUGAGGUUAGUGGUUGGAUAUGGUCGGGGUACUGUAGUAGUACUGUAGAGGUACUGUAGGAGUACUGUAGAAUUACUGUAGUUUGAGAAAAAUUGACUUUUCGCCUUUUGAAGGGAUAUUGGUUUGAGGUUAGUGAUGGGAUGUGGUCGGGGUACUGUAGUAGUACUGUAGAGGUUCUGUAGGAGUACUGCAGGAUUACUGUAGUUUAGGAAAAAUUGACUUUUUGUCUUUUGAAGAGAUAUUAGAAAAUUCGAGAAAUUUUCUAUAUAGAAUCGUCUGGAAAGCUCGAGAAAAUUCUGGAAUGUUCUAGAACCUUCUGGAAAAUUCUGGAAAAUUCGAAAUUUAAAAAAUGUUCGUGACGAGACCCAUCGUGGUGAGACCCAUCGCGGUGAGACCCAUCGUGGUGAGACCCAAAUUUUUGGCGGGAAAUUCAAAUUUUCAGUGAAAAAAAUUUUGGCGGGAAAUUCAAAUUUUCAGUGAAAAAAUUUUGGCGGGAAAUUCAAAUUUCAGUGAAAAAAAUUUUUGGUGGGAAAUUCAAAUUUCAGUGAAAAAAAUUUUUAGCGGAAAUUCAAAUUUUCAGUGAAAAAAUUUUUGGCGGGAAAUUCAAAUUUUCAGUGAAAAAAAUUUUGGCGGGAAAUUCAAAUUUUCAGUGAAAAAAUUUUGGCGGGAAAUUCAAAUUUCAGUGAAAAAAAUUUUUAGCGGAAAUUCAAAUUUCAGUGAAAAAAAAUUUUAGCGGGAAAUUCAAAUUUUCAGUAAAAAAAUUUCUGGCGGGAAAUUCAAAUUUUCAGUGAAAAAAAUUUUGGCGGGAAAUUCAAAUUUUCAGUGAAAAAAUUUUGGCGGGAAAUUCAAAUUUCAGUGAAAAAAAUUUUUAGCGGAAAUUCAAAUUUCAGUGAAAAAAAAUUUUAGCGGGAAAUUCAAAUUUUCAGUAAAAAAAUUUCUGGCGGGAAAUUCAAAUUUUCAGUGAAAAAAAUUUUGGCGGGAAAUUCAAAUUUUCUGUGAGAAAAAUUUUGGGGGGAAGUUCAAAUUUUCAGUGAAAAAAAUUUUGGCGGGAAAUUCAAAUUUUCAGUGAAAAACAUUUUGGCGGGAAUUUCAAAUUUUCAGUGAAAAACAUUUUGCCGGGAAAUUCAAAUUUUCAAAGAAACUUUUUGUUAGCUUAAGUACCACCUGGAACUGGCGAGACCCAUCGUGGUGAGACCCUUAAAAAUAUGGGCGGGAACUUCAAAAUUUAUGAGAAAAGAAAUUUUGGCGGGAAUUCAAAUUUUCUUUGAAAAAUUUUGGCGGGAAUUCAAAUUUUCUGAGAAAAAAAAUUUUGCGGGAAAUUCAGAUUUUCUGAGAAAAAAGAUUUUGGCGGGAAAUUCAAAUUUUCUGAGGAAAACAUGUGGCGGGAAAUCCAAAUUUUUGUUCUGGAAUCAAUUUUUUGUUUUAGCACCUUCUGGAAGUUUCAAGAAAAUUCUAGACUGUUCUAGAAUCAUCUGGAAAAUUCAAAAAAGUUCUGAAAUGCUCUACAACCUCCUAUAACUGUAGGAAUUUUUAUUUGUUUCGUUACAUCUAUAUUCAAAGAACUUAGUAGUUAAUUAUUCAGACUUCUCCAGUUAAGGAAAGUUAUUAACUUAUUAAAAAAACUGUAACUCUGUGGAAUUUUUUCGAAAGCCUGAUAAUGAUAAUGUGUUAGUAGAAAAAGCAGAACAUUCUAACUGUCUCUUUGAAUUUUCUGAAUUGUAUACCAUCGAAGGAGAAAAUGCGAUUUAAUCGAUGAAGUUUCAACUUUUUUUAAUGAGACAUUUUUGAAUGAUUAAAAGGACAUCUAUUUGUUAUACAUUUUAAACUCCGCCAGUCGUUGGCCACGCCGGAGGCGCGGUCAUCGGCUGGUUAAAUAUAUUGUAUCAAGUAUUUGAACAAUUUAAAUUUCGCCAAAAACUGACGAACUUGUUCAAGUUUUCUCGAUGUGUGUGUUAAGAAUUCAGUAGUUUUGGUGCUCCAAAAAACAAUUUUAAAAACCAAAUGUUUCCGAGUUUGUUAAGCACGGCAAAUUUUCUGAAUUUGCCGCACACCCCUGUUGUCGACGUCCAGGCUGUUCUAGGAUACUUCACACUCAAGAAUAUGAUUUUUUUCAAUGGACUUUCGAAUGUGAAAUUUAUAGCCUAUUCAUUUUACAGCAAACCAUAAUAUAAUAUUAGUGCCAAAAAAUUUAACCUGAUUCUAUCAUUUUGAGGUGGGCGGCAAACGAUUUUUUCCGGCAAAUCGGCAAAUCGGCAAAUUGCCGGAAUUUAAAUUUCCGGCAAACCGGCAAAUUGCCGAUUUGACGAAAAUUUUCGGCAAAUUGUGGUUUUGCACUUAUUUUUUCGGAAAUUUCAAAAUUUUAAUUUCAAAUGAAAAAAUUAGACGCAUCCUAUGAAUGUUCUUUCAUCUAUUUUGAAAAAUAAGUAUAUUCUAUGAAAAUUAGAGGGAUUUUCGACGGAAGCACUUAUUAUCAAAAAAUAUCAAUCGCACAGGCCACGUGGCUUUUGUUUUUUAUUUCUUUUUUAUUUACGCUCCCCCACACAACUUUAUUUUCAAAGAGAAUUUAAAAAUAGAACUAAAGGUCAAACAUGGGAGGAGCGUAAAUAAAAAAGAAAUAAAAAACAAAAGCCACGUGGCCUGUGCGAUUGAUAUUUUUUUGAUAAUAAAACUGUGCCUUUUUGAAUUUUUUUCCGUUUUUUCUACAUAUUUUCUUUCCGGCAAAUCUGAUAUCCGGCAAACGGCAAGUCGGCACUUUGCCGGAAUUGAAAAUUUCCGGCAAAUCGGCAAACCGGAAAUUUGCCGAUUUGCCGAAUUUGUCGGCAAAUCAAUUUGCCGAACGGCAAUUGCCGCCGCACCUCUGAUAUGUAUGUUCAUAACUGGACAUGGCGAAAAAAGUUGAUUUUUUUCAAAAUGGCAUUUUGAAUAUUUCCAAAAGUUACAUUUUCAGUUGUCUCUACUUAUUGUGGGACGAAAAAAAAGAGAAUCCGGCAAUAGUUACCGACGUUAUCAAUUCAAAUAUCACUUGAUCAAAAUUGACCAUUUUUCUCACAUCUGUAUUCGAGAAAGACGAUUGGGGAUAUGCUCUACCACGAAAGUUCCUGGAUUUGAUAAUAACAAAAUGGAACGUGAGGACUGUUGAAAUUGCUUUCAAACAUGUAAAGGUCCAUUUCCUCGUUUUAACGCGGAUGAUAUUGUUCCCAAAGCCAAGUUCUAUGUGGAUUAUUGGACACAGCCACGUUCCAAAUAUACAUUGGAUGAAGUAGAAGUUGAUUUACAACUCACAAAAGUAUUCGAAGUACAAAUCGAGAGGAAGAAGUCACAUGUUGCCACCAAUUUCAUUGCAAAUACUUGCAGGAUUUUUCCCAGCAAAAAGAUCAGUGUGAAACUCUCAAAGGACAUUUGUCAACUGCUAAUCGAUCCAGAAAACAUUGAGGACUUCAUAUCGGAAAUCAAAUUGAUGCUUCAAAAGGAUUCUCAACCUAAUUCGCAGAUUUCUUUGAAAUUAUAUCAGUAG
rnacentral:sRNA from 1 species